CAGGAGGGCUGCUUUACCUCCUGAUUCAGUUGAAAGCCUGUGGAUGUGGAACCAGGAAUUCGUUAAGUUUGUUAUGGAAAGUAGGAAGUGGUCGGGGAAGGGGGAAGCAGAGGAAUGGGAGUCAACUAGGCAAAAGAAUAAUGUUCUCUGGCUUCUGGGAACUUUCAAAGGAUCUGAGUUGCUGAAGGCAUGCAGUAUUCUAAUAUGAUCUGCCCCCUCUUGGGGUGGAGCGUCUAGAGGUGGCAGGGAGCAGUAUUGGAGUCACUAAUUCUUGGCUCCAGAGAUUUAGGAUGGCCUUUUCUUGGGAGACCCUGGGAUGCUGGGAAAGAGCAAGGCCUGGGUAGCUUAGUGACUCAGAUACCUUAGAGUGGCCCCUUACGUCACCUAGUCCUAAUACAUCCUUCAACAAACCAAAUCCUUGGAAGCAGACGUGAGUUGCCAGUUAAAGUAUACUUUUCAGAAGGUAAAAUCAUGUCUCUCACACAGACAUUAAAUGAACAUGUUUCAAACAUUUUAUUGAACUCACUCAUUAAUGAGGAAACCAGUAAGAUUUAAAACUGGUCCAAAAGGGAUUUGAAAAGCUAGCUAUAUGUAGGCAGUUUAUUAAUAGAUGGCUGGGCUAGACACGAAAACUGGUUUAUGUUCAACAGAAUCGUAAGUUGUAAACUUUAGGGCUAUUAAUUCUACUGGGUAGAAAUUAUUUGCAUCUCUCUUGGUCAAAACUUUGCAAGUUUGCUUUGCCUUACAGUGAGGAAAAAUAGUCCAGUAAAUAGAAAGUCAAAUUCAAUACAGCAUCAAAAGGACAUCCAAUAAUUUUUUCAUGUAUUUCCAAGUUUUGAAUAAUUUUUCUUAAAUGUCCAGGGUCACACAGGUAAUUCUAGCAGAUGUGGGGUGAUAGUCGAAAUCUCAUUAUGUUCGACCCAAUACUUUCGUCCUUGCAACACAAUCCAGAACGACAAAGAUGUCCAAGAGCUAAAUUUCCAAUCAUAGAAUGGGAAGUGGUAUAUUUCCUUCUCCUUACCUGCCCAGCCUACACAUUCCACUCAUGCAAACACUAACCUGUGAGGGAUUCCAAACUGGGUCCUUGAUACCGCAUUCCCCUAGCCCAAGGCAUUGUCUCGACACCCAUUUUCUUCCUGUUAGUGUUCCUAGCAUCCUGCAGAAUUCCUUAGCCACCUCACCCCACCUUCACACACUCGGUCCUCAUACUUACCAUCUCUGAUUUCUGUGUUGGACUCGGCACCCCUCUUUCUUCAUCUCUGAGAUCUUAUCACAUUCUCAGUUGGAACUCUCAUUGGAUAUGUUCAAAUGAGGCUAGAUGACACCUUGGCUGACAUGUUGACUAGAGGGAUUUAAGUACUCAAUGUGUGUGUUCAGCAUAGGCGUCCCUCAAGAUCCUCCCAGCUCUCAAAUAUAAGGCUUCUGUAAUAGUUUAUUCCCCCAAAUGGGAGCAAAACUUGCACAUAGAACCUAGAAAGCCUCAGGUGGGUUUGGAAAGCUGGCAUUGAUUUUUUGGCUUUAGGAAAACUCUAAUCUCCUGGCUUCCCAUCAGAGUGAACACUAAUAUCUUCCUUUUUGGGAGAGCUCUGUGGAUGAGUGAGUUACUAUUUGCUGAGAGAUUUGGGAGCCUGAGGCAAAUGACAUUGAGCUGCUCACCAGCUAUGACAAGGCCUCUGCACAAACACCCAUCCUUUUAUUCCUGCCAGGUCUUUGUGGGCGGCAGAGGUUGGAAUAAUUUCAUUACAAGAGUCCAUCAGCCUUGACGGUGUCUCUCGAAGAUUGCCUUUUUCAUAAUCAUUUUGUUUGUUUGUCUGAAAUGGAAAUCAGGGGUCCACCUCUCCCAUGUGCAGCUCGUAUGUCUCACCCACCCCCAGCUGGUUUGAAGCCUGGGUUGUCUAGAACUGUGCCACUAGCAGGCUGAAGACGAAACCUCAGAGGAGGGCAGAGCCAAAGCCACUGGUCUAUGUGAACUCCAAGGUUUGCCCCACCUCUAGACUGG